rnacentral:rRNA from 1 species
UACGAGAGGCCCAAACGUUAUUCGGAUUUACUGGGCUUAAAGAGUUCGUAGGCGGUUCGGUAAGUGAGGUGUGAAAGCCCUCGGCUCAACCGAGGAAUUGCGCUUCAAACUGCCGGGCUCGAGGGAGAUAGAGGUGAGCGGAACUGAUGGUGGAGCGGUGAAAUGCGCAGAUAUCAGGAAGAACACCGGUGGCGAAGGCGGGUCUCUGGGCCACUACUGACGCUGAGGAGCGAAAGCGUGGGGAGCGAACAGG